rnacentral:rRNA from 1 species
CCAGACUCCUACGGGAGGCAGCAGUGAGGAAUAUUGGUCAAUGGGCGCGAGCCUGAACCAGCCAAGUCGCGUGAGGGAAGACGGUCCUAUGGAUUGUAAACCUCUUUUGUCGGGGAGCAAAAGACGCCACGCGUGGCGUUCCGAGAGUACCCGAAGAAAAAGCAUCGGCUAACUCCGUGCCAGCAGCCGCGGUAAUACGGAGGAUGCGAGCGUUAUCCGGAUUUAUUGGGUUUAAAGGGUGCGUAGGCGGGCUGUUAAGUCGGGGGUAAAAUGUCGGGGCGCAACCCCGGCCUGCCGUUGAAACUGGGGAUCUGGAGUGUGCGAGAGGUAUGCGGAAUGCGUGGUGUAGCGGUGAAAUGCAUAGAUAUCACGCAGAACCCCGAUUGCGAAGGCAGCAUACCGGUGCACAACUGACGCUCAGGCACGAAAGCGUGGGUAUCGAACAGGAUUAGAUACCCGCGUA